CGCGUCUCUACCUCUCGCUCUCUCUCUCUCUCUCUCUCUCUCUCUCUCUCUCUCCCACUCUUCUGCUUUCUCUCUCUCUCUCUCUCUCUCUCUCACUCUCUCUCUUGCUCUUGCACUCUUGCCUCCGUCUCUGUAGCUCUCUUUCUACCUUUCCCUCGCAUUCUCUUUUCUUUCCCUAUUGCUCAUUAUCUCUCUAAAUCUUCCUCUCUCUCUCUCUCUCUCUCUCUCUGAAUCUUUAUCUCCCUCAAUUUCCUCGGACUCCCUCUAAGCCAACGGGUGUUUUGGACAAGGUGGGCGGGAGGAGGUGUGGGGUUGAGGGGGGGCAGAGCAUAUUGGAGCGCAGGAGAACGGAGUGGGUUGCACAUCGAAGAGAGGAUUCUUUCGCUCUUGGAUUUUGGCGCUCAAAUCAGGAGCGGGGGCAAGUUCGCUCAGAGCGAGGAGAAAGGCAGGCAUGCUCUCUUUUCAGCGGCGAAGCAGCUCACAGCCCGCAACCGCCAGGAGAGGGAGAAGAGUGAAAACUUGAGCUGCCCUGGACCCAUCAAGAACCACCGAGGCGAGACAGAUUCUGAAACCGAGGGAAAGAAGGAACAAGGAAGUCACAAGCGAGCCCUGCUGGGAGGCGGGUCCUCAGGCUAUGCGGGAGCGACACCGCAACCCCCCCCAGCCCCCCCCCCUCCCUGCCUCUAUCAUCAUCAGCAUCGUCAUCAUCAGUAUGCAGGGCCGGUCGGCCAGGUUACUGCUGGAGUCCGCAGUAACAGCUCGUCCGGAGAGCCAUAAAGCAGGUAAAGAAAAUACAUCAAGCCCCAUGCAGCGAGCCCUCCAGGGGAGAGGAACCCUCUGACCCUCCCCACCACUCACUCACACAGCGCUCAUACCCUCACCAAUACACAUGGAGAUAGAUGGUGUUUAUGCAUGGUUGGUUUAUGUUCUACUAUAGCCAUAGUUUAAUUUAUCAUCUAUUUAUUAUUACGUACUGGUUCUUUUCGUAACUUUUUUUAGGAUUGUUUAUAUUAUGAGGGUUUCAUUGUGUGUGUUUUCUUAAUGUGUUGUAUGUAUUAAAACUUAAUAAAAUCGUUUUGAUAUGGUGGAAUUACUUGUUGUGCGUUUUUCUGCCCGAUCGGUUAUCUUGUGGAAUUUUUUUGUGUGUUUAUAUCUAUGAACAUUGUGGUGUUUUAGAAUCAUAAUAGCA
ensembl:lncRNA